rnacentral:rRNA from 1 species
GUACACGAGCGGCGAACGGGUGAGUAACACGUGGGUGAUCUGCCUCGCACUUCGGGAUAAGCCUGGGAAACUGGGUCUAAUACCGGAUAGGACCUUUGGAUGCAUGUCCGAGGGUGGAAAGAUUUAUCGGUGCGAGAUGGGCCCGCGGCCUAUCAGCUUGUUGGUGGGGUAACGGCCCACCAAGGCGACGACGGGUAGCCGACCUGAGAGGGUGACCGGCCACACUGGGACUGAGACACGGCCCAGACUCCUACGGGAGGCAGCAGUGGGGAAUAUUGCACAAUGGGCGAAAGCCUGAUGCAGCGACGCCGCGUGAGGGAUGACGGCCUUCGGGUUGUAAACCUCUUUCGACUCCGACGAAGCGAGAGUGACGGUAGGAGUAGAAGAAGCACCGGCCAACUACGUGCCAGCAGCCGCGGUAAUACGUAGGGUGCGAGCGUUGUCCGGAAUUACUGGGCGUAAAGAGCUUGUAGGCGGUUUGUCGCGUCGUCUGUGAAAACUCACAGCUCAACUGUGAGCUUGCAGGCGAUACGGGCAGACUUGAGUACUUCAGGGGAGACUGGAAUUCCUGGUGUAGCGGUGAAAUGCGCAGAUAUCAGGAGGAACACCGGUGGCGAAGGCGGGUCUCUGGGAAGUAACUGACGCUGAGAAGCGAAAGCGUG